rnacentral:rRNA from 1 species
AUGAACGCUAGCGGGAGGCCUAACACAUGCAAGCCGAGCGGUAGAGAUCUUUCGGGAUCUUGAGAGCGGCGUACGGGUGCGGAACACGUGUGCAACCUGCCUUUAUCUGGGAGAUAGCCUUUCGAAAGGAAGAUUAAUACCCCAUAAUAUAUGAUUCGGCAUCGGAUUCUAUUGAAAGCUCCGGCGGAUAGAGAUGGGCACGCGCAAGAUUAGAUAGUUGGUGAGGUAACGGCUCACCAAGUCAGUGAUCUUUAGGGGGCCUGAGAGGGUGAUCCCCCACACUGGUACUGAGACACGGACCAGACUCCUACGGGAGGCAGCAGUGAGGAAUAUUGGACAAUGGGUGAAAGCCUGAUCCAGCCAUCCCGCGUGAAGGACGACGGCCCUAUGGGUUGUAAACUUCUUUUGUAUAGGGAUAAACCUACCCUCGUGAGGGUAGCUGAAGGUACUAUACGAAUAAGCACCGGCUAACUCCGUGCCAGCAGCCGCCGUAA